GGCGCUAUAGCUAAGUGGUUACAGCGAUAGAUUAGAAAUCUAUUCCUCUUUGAGGGCGCAGGUUCGAAUCCUGCUGGCGUCG